CGAGAGUGUCGGCCCCGGCUGGGCUCUCCAGCCCCAGCGGCCUGGCAGAAAGCGGGCUCUGCUCGCGGCAGGCGGCCGCGGCACCGGCUGUCCGCCGGAUCUGCUGGAGACGCAUCCAGACCACGACGGUGCGCGGGCGACAGAACGCCCUUCGAGAAGGGCAAUUGAUGGAAGACGACUAGAGGCUGCCACUCCCGUAGUGAGUCUUGGCCACGUUUGUGUUCCCCGCCGGACGCUCUGGGCAGCGCGUGCCUUAGUAGAUCUUUUAAGACCUCUGUUGAACCGGGCGGAGGCAGAAGCGCUGCAGAAAACCGAGGCAGAUCCCCAGUCCAUUUCUGUGAAGUUGCUCAAACUGGCAAGGCGCGGAUACACGUCAGCCAGGUUUCUAAAAAGAGCGCUUUCCAGUUUUUAAAUAAAGCGACCUCACCACGCACGCGUCAGCCUCCUUCCACUUGGUACACUGUUCUUUUUAAUAAUCAGAUUUAGCAAACCCCUAGAUUGUCCCUUGCUUUUCUGCAGUGUGCUCUUGGUACCAUCCGAUUCCUGGAAGGAAGAGCACUGUACAAGGAGUCUGAGCGUCAGAGCUCUCGUCCCAUCGUUGCCACCUUGCAAAUUUUGCCCCCUCUA